UACGUAGGGGGCAAGCGUUGUCCGGAAUCAUUGGGCGUAAAGCGCGCGUAGGCGGCCCGGUAAGUCCGCUCUGAAAGUCCAGGGCUCAACCCUGGAAAGCGGGUGGAUACUGCCGGGCUAGAAUCCGGAAGAGGCGAGUGGAAUUCCUGGUGUAGCGGUGGAAUGCGCAGAUAUCAGGAGGAACACCAAUAGCGAAGGCAGCUCGCUGGGACGGUAUUGACGCUAAGGCGCGAAAAGCGUGGGGAGCAAACAGG
rnacentral:rRNA from 1 species